rnacentral:rRNA from 1 species
GUGGGGAAUAUUGCACAAUGGGGGAAACCCUGAUGCAGCGACGCCGCGUGAGUGAAGAAGUAUUUCGGUACGUAAAGCUCUAUCAGCAAGGAAGAAAAUGACGGUACUUGACUAAGAAGCCCCGGCUAACUACGUGCCAGCAGCCGCGGUAAUACGUAGGGGGCAAGCGUUAUCCGGAUUUACUGGGUGUAAAGGGAGCGUAGACGGUAUGGUAAGUCAGAUGUGAAAGCCCGGGGCUCAACCCCGGGACUGCAUUUGAAACUAUCAGACUAGAGUGCAGGAGAGGUAAGUGGAAUUCCUAGUGUAGCGGUGAAAUGCGUAGAUAUUAGGAGGAACACCAGUGGCGAAGGCGGCUUUCUGGACGGUGUCUGACACUGAGGCGCGAAAGCCAGGGGAGCGAACGGGAUUAGAAACCCCGGUAGUCC